UUCUCUCUCUUCCUCCCGAUUCUCUCUCUCUCUCCCGCGUCUCUCUUCCUUCUCCGAUCUGCAGAUCGCAGAGCCGCCGCCACAGGCCACGGCUAGCCCCGAGACCGGACCCAAAACGAUCGGCCAAACCUCGCCGACGUCCCCCGACCCAUCUCCAGCCGCCAGCCGCCGCCUCGUCGCCGGAAACCACGGAUUUCAGGCCGAUUCUUGUCUGAGCUUCCAGUCGAUCGUUCUCUCUCCUCCGAGCACUAUUUCAGACGGGUGAGGUAUUUCGACUGCACGCACGCAGCAAGCAGGACCUUCACGUGGUCAGGCAGCGAGGGAAUACUUCCAGUAGUUGCUCUUGGAAGUGCAAGUGGUGUACGAAGCGGAAUCGGUGCAUCUUUCUAAUUAGGAAUUGUGUAAAUUCUUCUACUCAACUG